rnacentral:rRNA from 1 species
CCUACGGGUGGCAGCAGUGGGGAAUAUUGGGCAAUGGCGGAAACUCUGACCCAGCAACGCCGCGUGAGUGAUGACGGUCUUCGGAUUUUAAAGUUCUUUUCUAAGGGAAGAAGAAAGUGACGGUACCUUAGGAAUAAGCCUCGGCUAACUACGUGCCAGCAGCCGCGGUAAUACGGAGGAGGCAAGCGUUCUCCGGAAUGACUGGGCGUAAGGGGUGCGUAGGUGGUUUGACAAGUUGGUAGCGUAACUCCGGGGGCCAACCUCGGCAAUACUACCGAAACUUGCGGACUUGAGUGCAGGAGGGGCAAAUGGAAUGCGUGGUGUAGCGGUGGAAUGCGUAGAUAUUAGGAGGAACACCAGUGGCGAAGGCGAGUUGCUGGACUGUAACUGACACUGAGGCACGAAAGCGUGGGGAGCAAACAGGAUUAGAUACCCGGGUAGUC